GUGUCCUGAACCCAUUUUCUUCCACCGAGGUCUAUCAACCCUACCUGUCCCCUGUGGCCGGCUGGUCUGCGGACAAAGCAGGUCUGAAAAGGCUGAUUCUGAUGCACAGUCUGAGGCAGUGGAUGCAUUGGUAAACACUUAGCACGUAGCAACUGACGGUGACUUGGAGCUCCAAGCGUCAGUGGGUGGUCUGCUGUUACUCUCAGAUAAUGGGGAUGUGUUACCCUCUCACUUUAAGUGGGGAGCUGCCAUCUAUUCAAAAGGACAUCGUGUGUCAUGAAGGUGGUCGCAGCCGAUCCGAGAAGCGAGCCAAAAUAAAUUUGCAGCCGACAUUAAGGGGACGCAGAGAUCACAUCACAGAAUCAUAGCCCGAUGUGUUCCGAUGUGCGGUGGCCUUUCUGCUUCCCAGAGAUGCACACCCAACCCGCCUUCCUUCGCCUCUAUCUUCUUAUUGUGUCGUCAUGGUGAUGGGUUUUCGUCUUUGUGUCUAAUUAAAGAGAAAGCUUUAGAUGUAUUGACUACUUCAGAUCACGGAACACCUCUCUUUUAGCACCAUUCCCCGUGUCAUCAUCAAACGGCUAAUCUUUGAUUUAAAGUGCAGCUACGACAUAUAUGGUUAGAAAACCAAGUAUGCGAACUGUUUUUGAUUUACUGGCGCUUGGAGAGAAGAUCCUUCAUCUUGUGACAAAUUCUUUUACAAAUAAACUCUGCGUGACCCUUGGUGACAGA